rnacentral:pre_miRNA from 1 species
UUAGCUCAUAUUUGUAUGGAAUGGGAUCGUUUGCGUACGUUUGCCGCUAGGGGCGCUGUUCCAAUUGCAUACAAAAUUGGGUUA